rnacentral:lncRNA from 1 species
AUGUCAGUCUGGGGAUCGGUAUGGCAUUCUAGGGAUCGGUAUAUGCCGUUGAGCAGCAAUCGACAUACCUUUAGCCACUUUUCGAUCUCGCCGUCACUCGGACAUGUUCACGUGAAGAAACGUCUCUGUACCCCGGACAUUGAACUGUUGACUGUGGGGAUGAGGCCUUAUUAUUUGCCCCGGGAGUUCACAUCCGCCAUCAUUAUCGGUGUGUACGUUCCUCCUUUGGCUGAUGCAGCGCUGGCCUGUGACGUCAUCCACUCCGCUGUUGCCCAGAUACAGACGCAGCAUCCUAACGCAUUUAUUGUCAUCACUGGGGAUUUUAAUCACGUCUCACUGGACAAAACCCUCCCAACAUUUCACCAGUAUGUUGACUGCCCCACCAGAGACUGUAACACACUGGAUCUGUUGUAUGCAAAUGCUAAGGAUGCAUACAGUCCCACAGCCCUCCCCCCGCUUGGAAGAUCUGACCACAACCUGGUUCUGCUGACCCCUAAGUAUAUGCCUCUUGUUCAGCGGCAGCCUGUCCACACUAGGAGCGUGAGGAGGUGGAUUCAGGAGGCUGCUGACGCACUACAGGACUGCUUUGAGUCGACAGACUGGGAUGCACUUGUUGAGCCACAUGGAGAGGAUCUCGACAGCAUGACCGACUGCAUCACUGAAUACAUCAGGUUCUGUGAACACACCACCAUGCCAACCCGGACUGUACGCUGCUUCCCUAAUAAUAUGCCGUGGAUCACCAAUGACCUGAAAGCCCUUCUUAACAAGAAGAAGAGGGCGUUCAGGUCUGGAGACAGGGAAGAACUGAGGAGAGUGCAGCAUGAACUCAGGGAUAUGCUGAGGGCCUGUAAAGAUGCCUACAGGAGGAAGCUGGAGGCCAAACUCCAGCAGAACAAUGUGAGGGAUGUGUGGACUGGUAUGAAGCAGAUCACUGGGUGUAAGGUGAGCGGCAGACAGUCAUCGGGCAGCCUGGAGAGGGCAAACGAGCUUAACAGAUUCUUCAAUAGUUUCAGCUCACAGCCUUCUGUCGUCUCCAUGACACCUCCAGACCCCCACACACCCUCACUGCCCCAAAUGCUUCCUCCCCUCCCCUCCCCUGUGCAGCACCUCUCCUCCUCCUCCACCUCUUCCUCCUCCACCUCCUCCUCCUCCUCCACCUCCUCCUCCACCUCCUCGUCCUCCACUGAAGACACUGGCAGCCUCCCCCGCAUGACUGUGACUGCAGGCCAGGUUAGGAGACAGCUGGAGAGACUCCACCAGCAGAAGGCUGCAGGCCCUGACGGUAUCAGCCCCAGGAUCCUGAAGACGUGCCAGCCAGCUGUCUCCUGUCCUACAACACCUCUACAACCUGAGCCUGGGUCAGGAGAGAAUACCAGUGCUUUGGAAGACUUCCUGCCUGGUUCCUGUUCCAAUGAAGUCGACACCAUCAGACCUCAAUGA